rnacentral:rRNA from 1 species
GAUGAACGCUAGCGGGAGGCUUAAUACAUGCAAGUCGAGGGAGAAAUUUGUUUUUCGGAAUAAAUGGAAACCGGCGCACGGGUGAGUAACGCGUACACUACCUACCUUAUACUGGGGGAUAGCCUUUGGAAACGAAGAGUAAUACCCCAUGGUCCCGCCCUAGGCGGGUAAAGCUCCGGCGGUAUAAGAUGGGUGUGCGUUUGAUUAGCUAGUUGGUGAGGUAACGGCUCACAAAGGCGACGAUCAAUAGGGGGCGUGAGAGCGUGAUCCCCCACACGGGUACUGAGACACGGACCCGACUUCUACGGAAGGCAGCAGUAAGGAAUAUUGGACAAUGGGCGAAAGCCUGAUCCAGCCAUCCCGCGUGAAGGAUGAAUGCCCUAUGGGUUGUAAACUUCUUUUGUUUGGAAAGAAACGCUCCGAUUUAUCGGAGCCUGACGGUACCAUUCGAAUAAGCACCGGCUAACUCCG